rnacentral:rRNA from 1 species
CAGCCGCCGCGGUAAUACAGAGGAUGCAAGCGUUAUCCGGAAUGAUUGGGCGUAAAGCGUCUGUAGGUGGCUUUUCAAGUCCGCCGUCAAAUCCCAGGGCUCAACCCUGGACAGGCGGUGGAAACUACCAAGCUGGAGUACGGUAGGGGCAGAGGGAACUUCCGGUGGAGCGGUGAAAUGCGUUGAGAUCAGAAAGAACACCAACGGCGAAAGCACUCUGCUGGGCCGACACUGACACUGAGAGACGAAAGCUAGGGGAGCAAAUGGGAUUAGAUACCCGUGUAGUCCCUGUCUCUUAUAC